UUCAACUUGAGCAGAGGUCUAGUUAGAAAGGUGAAAACAACUGUGUAGGCUACAUUGCCCUAAAAUCUGCAUUAAUAGGUAUUUAGGCCACUAAAGGGCAAAAGAGCUCCUCAAGAAGCUAGCUAAACUUUUAGCACCUUGUCGGGCUGUUUCGGAUGUUGGCUAACUUGUUAGCAAGCAGUUACCGACUUACACAUCCAGCAGACGUGAAGUAGCAUCGGCAUUCAUUUGGAAAUGUGUUUCUGGCCACGUCACAAAUGAACAUUGUCCAGAUGAUGGGACUGUAAGGGAGGAUGACGGGGGCCCAGGCAGCCAAACAAAUUGAAAAAUCUUCAAAAGAAAUACAAGAUCAUUGGAAUCAUUUGUCCAAAUGGCUUUUUUUGGUAACGGAGCAAGGAGCAGCUGGCAUUGGUUUUUCCUGAUGCAUGAGGCAGUUGGGCCACUGCCAUCGAUUAGUCCUGCGGUCCUGAUUGCCUCAUGCACAGGGGAAGAUCGGCCAUGAUCCAGCAGCAUCGCAAGAGCUACUUGUCUGCCAGGGCCCCCUGAAAUAGCUUGUGAGGAAGGACUCUCACCUCUUCCACAACCACCACCACCAGACCUGCAGCUUCAACUGGAGAGGUGUGAGCAGUGAGGGCUGCGUUCUACAGAAGAGAUGCCCAGUCCACCAACGAAGUGAAGUCAGAGAUCUUUUGGUGGAGGCAAUAUUACAAGGAGGAGAGAGGAGAUGAAUCCAUUUUCAGGCACCUGGAGGAACAAACUGCUCGGACUUUUAGAGAGAAUUGUAUACGAGAUGUAAAAAUAUUUUAUCGUAGUUACUGAUUUUCUAAUAAAUAUUAUAAAUCAUGUUUAUGCCUGGUGAGUUUCUGUGAAUUAAAAUAGAAUCCCAAAGACUGUUUUUCUCUUUAUAUUUUCAUUUACUGUAAGUAUGUAGUACGUUUUUGAGAACAUAAAUAAAGGUUCAGUUUG